CACGCACACACACACACACACACACACACACACGCACAUAAACACACCCAGAGUUCUUAUCAUGUUUUGUGUGUGAACGUAGAUGUAAAGGCGUUGUCAAAGUUCUGCUCGGCUAGCUAGUUCUGCUCAUCGCGGCGGCGGUGGUGGUGGAGGUGGUUGGGAACAGGAGAAAGCCAACUGAGCCAGCUUCGCGGUCCAUUAUUACUUUUGGUACGCGCUAUGCCACACUCAACUCGUACCGUGAGUAAUAAUGCACUGAGACUGGCAGCGACAACGGACCAGCCAUCACCCCACCCUCCACCCCACCCUCCACCCCACCUCGUGGGGUGGAGGGUGGGAGUUUUAGUAGUCGUAGAAGCAGUAGUAUUGGUAGUAUUAGCAGUGGUUGUGGUAGUAGGAGUAGUAGAAUCAGUAAUCGUGGUAGUAGUAGUGGUGGUCUUAUUAGUAUUGGUAGUGGUAGUAGGAGCAGGAGUAGUAGUAACUUGAUUGAUCUCGGAGGGGCAAUUGAUUUGAAACAGUAGCUAACUGAAUAAAAAACAAUACUAAUAAAUACAAUAAAAUAAAGAUAUACUUGGUAGUUAAAAUGAACGAGCAUUCCUCGCUUUCAAAACGCUCCAUUCUAAACCUUAUCCCCCCCCAUUCCUGUAAAACAGCCUUGUCUUGGUCAAUGACUUCUAACUUUAACUCAUUCUGGUACCCCAUCACCCCUUUAUUUAGACACAAAGGGAGUCUAGUAUACGUCUGUGUUUUGCUGUAUCCUAGCAACAAAACAACACAACUCGGGUAGCCAUUCCGAUGACAUUCCACUGUAAACCCCUCCGGUCUCAUUCUGCUGCUAUUGGAGAACUGGAUCUAAGUGGAUGGAGAUGCUUGUGGGAGACGUUCUCUACAUAUGGCUAAUAAUAUAAUAGGAACAGUCUCUUAUGUACAUGUGCGAAGAACAAGCAAUCCAUCUUCAUUCGUAAAUGUGUUUCCAAACGUGUUUUGUCUGCUGUUUCUCUCAACUUUCUGUGGAGUUUGACACAACAUGAUGGGUCUGCGACAUGAUGGUUACAUGAUAUUGAUUGAUGAGGUGGUUGAAACUUGUGUAACACACUCAAUCAGAAACAUAUGCGCACAGACACACACACACAUUAAUAUGAAUAAUCAGAAAAAACACAAACACACAUAAGCACACAUAUAUUAAUACACACAAUCAGAAACACACACACACGCAAAAACACACACACACACACACAAACACACACACAAACAACUUGAUGAAUGCGAGGAAAGUUAUCUGUCCAUUUUUUCCCACAACCUUCUUCAGCAUGUUUCCAUACUGCAUCAAGCGUUCAUAUGCAUGAAUAAAAUGUUGGCGGAAAUCACAGAGAAAACAUUCCCUAACAGCACACAGCAUUUCUGGAGAAGCUGAUAGGCUUCUAUUUCAGUUUGCGAAACGUUAUUGUUUAUUGGUUUCCUUGGUGCUUUCUUUUCUUUUCUUUUUUUGUGAUUCUGCUUCUUGGCAGCGACUCCUCAUUCCAUUCUAAGUCGCCAUCAUCCACGUCUGCAGGGGGUCAUCGCCAACCCCCCCCCCCCCCCUUACUCCCAUCCUGUUUCCCAACUCGUGCUCGACUCGAUAACGCACCACAUCUGGGACAAAUUUCCCUCACUUUUUAGUUUUUCUCCGACUCACUAUGCAUGAACCAGAGACCCCUAGCGGGCGUGGUUCUGCCCCCCCCCAGACGUAGGGGUGUGCCCAGGGGGUUGAGGCCAAGCAACACAAGCACUCUUUUUGUUGCCACCGUGGGGUCCGUCUUUUUCGUCUGCUCUGAGCGAUGCCCCCCCCCCCCAACACCCCACCACCCAGGUGGUCCUGACACACCGUGAUGUACCGGGUGGGGUCUAUUUAUAGCAUCCUGGCACGUCGACCGGUCACAGCUCUCACUUCCUCUACUGGGGGCCGACAACAGCAUCCAUCACUACCUUUACUCUCCCUGCUGGC